rnacentral:rRNA from 1 species
UUACGAGGUCAGGACACUGUGAGGAUUGACAGAUUGAAAGCUCUUUCUUGAUUCAGUGGGUGGUGGUGCAUGGCCGUUCUUAGUUGGCGGAGUGAUUUGUCUGGUUAAUUCCGUUAACGAACGAGACCUUAACCUGCUAAAUAGUCACGCGAACCGGUCCGCAAGGGCUCAAAGUUCGCGGCUCGACUUCUUAGAGGGACUAUUCGCACCCGCCAGCGAAUGGAAGUUUGAGGCAAUAACAGGUCUGUGAUGCCCUUAGAUGUUCUCGGCCGCACGCGCGUUACACUGACGGAGUCAACGAGCGUUUUUCCUUGCCCGAUAGGGUUGGGUAACCUCCUGAAACUCCGUCGUGACGGGGAUAGAUCAUUGCAAUUAUUGAUCUUGAACGAGGAAUUCCUAGUAGGCGCGAGUCAUCAACUCGCGCCGAUUACGUCCCUGCCCUUUGUACACACCGCCCGUCGCUCCUACCGAUUGAACGGUCCGGCGAGAACUCCGGAUGGUC